AAAAAAAAAAAACACAGUUCCAGUAUACAAGUCUGAUAUUGUGGAUUCAACAUGUGCAGAUCAUCCCCAAAAACUUUCAGAUUUGGAAAGAUACCUUUGUCAUCUAUUGGAUUCUGAGCAUGUUUUACCAUGUAACCAGUCUUUCACAGUAUUUCUUUUAGCUAAUUUUAGUUCAGCAACUUCUCUUGAUAGUGGUGAUUAUGUGUUUGUCAAGAGGCACAUUAUUUCUUUUCCUGAGGGUUUUCAAUGGGUUUAUUUGUUGUACCUGAAAUCCGGCUAGAAGUGAACAAAUCUCAUCACUGUCACAAAGCUGUCAAUCUUUCAAAGGUUUAUUGGAGCUGUAUGGGUCCUGCAUCCAUAUUGAUGCAAUGAUUAGAAUUUUGCAAGAUGACAAUGUAAUUUCAAAGACAUCAAUCGAAAAAGAUCAUAGCUACCAAGCAUUCUCUGAUAAUGAAGUGUUCACCAAAAUUCCAUUUGAUAAAAAUAAAUAUAUCUUUAAAAGUAUCAAAGAAGAAUAUGCAGUGAUGUCUGCAAGGGAUGGGCGCCUCUUUUGUCACACCUGCAGUUUUCAUCGCCACUGCCAACAUGUCAAAGACAUUAACAUACUUAUGAAUUCAGAACAAGAUUUGCCCGAAGCUUUGUUUGAAUUAAUGGAGUCUCUGCUUGUAAGUUCGUCAUUUGAUGAGGUCAAGCUGCAGCCCAUUUCAAAACAAAAGAUUGAUUUUGAUAUACCCAUUCUUUUACAGGAAAGAUAUUCCAGUCUAGUCAACACAUACUGCAGGACGGAAAAUUGAGUUUUGUUGUUCCCAGAGAAAAUGGAUCAGGUGUGCGAGUGUGGCUCCCAGUUUAAUGUUCAGUCCAUCCCUAGCGAUGCACCUCUAUACCUGUUUUGCAAAACCAACAUGUUUCUUGUACAAAUGCACACAUUUCUUUGCACCAGACAAGACUGUGAUAGUAGGAUAGAAUUUGAUGGAGCGGAACACUUCCUCAUCAACACGGGCUCAUACCUUGUACAUCAUGCCUUGUUAAGAGACUACAUGUUUCAUUUACUACAUUCAGGAACAUCCAUGUUUAACUAUUUCAAAGUGUGGCGCCAGAUGCAGAUCGAUCAUGGAAAUACAGUGUUUGAUCAACAAAUGAGUUACCGGAAGUUUCGGUGGGCAUGGCACACCUAUAUCAAUCUCCUGGACCUACCACCAGACAAAGGAUUGCUCUGCCCCAUUUGCAAAAAUGAAUUGAGUGAAGUUGUAAUGGAUGGAACCUCCUUGGGAUACCAUCAGCGUUACACGCGUGGACAGGACUCAUCAAUCUCUGAAUGUAGUCUGCCAACAGACUGUGGAAGAUAAGUAACUUAACUGAACACAUGUUUAUAUAAACUAUUCAAUUCCUGUCUAGGUUUGGAUUUGUCCGUUAGAUAAAAGCCGUUUAGUCGUUUUGGUUUUUUUUGUUUUUUUUUUGUUUGUUUUUUUAACGAUAGUAUACCCUUGGGGAAUUUUCUACUAUCCAUCAUUUACUAUAUUUAAAUUUGUUUUAUUUAUUUUCUGUUUUACUAGACACAUUGAUUGCAUUUUAAUAAAGAACAAACAACUAAGGAACCUGCUGGGAAAGUAUUCACGAGAAUGUCUAAGCCAAGAAGAAUUCUCUUUGUUAAA